UAGAAGGCCGCUCUCGUCCCC
rnacentral:misc_RNA from 1 species